AUAUCACAAAGGCAAAAUUGCUGAAAGGCAGUGACGCAAAGCUAAGGGUCUAAGCUCGAAGAGUAUGACAGCCGGUUGCAUAG
rnacentral:ncRNA from 1 species